AAUGAACGCUGGCGGCGUGCCUAACACAUGCAAGUCGAGCGAGAAAGUUUCUUCGGAAAUGAGUAAAGCGGCGAACGGGUGAGAAACGCGUGAGAAUUUGCCCUUCAGUGAGGAAUACCCUCGAGAAAUCGAGGCUAAUACUGCAUACGUCCCUACGGGGAGAAAGAUGGCCUCUUUGCUAUCGCUGAAGGAUAAGCUUGCGUACUAUUAGCUAGUUGGUGAGGUAAUGGCUCACCAAGGCGAUGAUGGUUAACCGGCCUGAGAGGGUGUACGGUCACACUGGAACUUAGACACGGUCCAGACUCCUACGGGUGGCAG
rnacentral:rRNA from 1 species